rnacentral:rRNA from 1 species
GAUGAACGCUGGCGGCGUGCCUAACACAUGCAAGUCGAGCGAUCUUCUUCGGAAGAGAGCGGCGGACGGGUGAGUAACGCGUGGGUAACCUGCCUCAUACACAUGGAUAACAUACCGAAAGGUAUGCUAAUACAAGAUAAUAUAAGGGAUUCGCAUGGAUUUCUUAUCAAAGCUCCGGCGGUAUGAGAUGGACCCGCGUCUGAUUAGCUAGUUGGUAAGGUAACGGCUUACCAAGGCGACGAUCAGUAGCCGACCUGAGAGGGUGACCGGCCACAUUGGAACUGAGACACGGUCCAAACGCCUACGGGAGGCAGCAGUGGGGAAUAUUGCACAAUGGGCGAAAGCCAGAUGCAGCAACGCCGCGUGAGCGAUGAAGGCCUUCGGGUCGUAAAGCUCUGUCCUCAAGGAAGAUAAUGACGGUACUUGAGGAGGAAGCCCCGGCUAACUACGUGCCAGCAGCCGCCGUAA